rnacentral:sRNA from 1 species
GUCAGAACCAGCGUGGAUUGAGGAUAGC